GACGAACGCUGGCGGCGUGCUUAACACAUGCAAGUCGAACGGAAAGGCCCUGCUUUUGUGGGGUGCUCGAGUGGCGAACGGGUGAGUAACACGUGAGUAACCUGCCCUUGACUUUGGGAUAACUUCAGGAAACUGGGGCUAAUACCGGAUAGGAGCUCCUGCUGCAUGGUGGGGGUUGGAAAGUUUCGGCGGUUGGGGAUGGACUCGCGGCUUAUCAGCUUGUUGGUGGGGUAGUGGCUUACCAAGGCUUUGACGGGUAGCCGGCCUGAGAGGGGUACCGGGCACAUUGGGACUGGGGUACGGGCCAGGCUCCUACGGGAGGCAGGAGGGGGGAAUAUUGCACAAUGGGCGGAAGCCUGAUGCAGCAACGCCGCGUGCGGGAUGACGGCCUUCGGGUUGUAAACCGCUUUCGCCUGUGACGAAGCGUGAGUGACGGUAAUGGGUAAAGAAGCACCGGCUAACUACGUG
rnacentral:rRNA from 1 species